CAAUAGCGUAUAUUAAAGCUGUUGCGGUUAAAAAGCUCGUAGUUGGAUUUCUGUCAAGGACAACUGGUCCGCCCUCCGGGUGAGCACAUAGUUUGGUCUUGGCAUCUUGCUGGAAACUGUUGCUGCACUUGGUUGUGUGGCGCAGCAUCCAGCACUUUCACUUUGAGGAAAUUGGAGUGUUUCAAGCAGGCACAUGCCUUUGGACACAGUAGCAUGGAAUAAUUAGAUUGGGCUUUUGCUCCAAUUUGUCGGUUUCUGGAGCUGAGGUGAGAAUUAAUGGGGAUUGUUGGGGGCAUCCGAAUUUAGCCGUCAGAGGUGAAAUUCUUGGAUCUGCUAAAGACGGACAACUGCGAAAGCGUCUGCCCAGGAUGUUUUCAUUG
rnacentral:rRNA from 1 species